rnacentral:rRNA from 1 species
UACGUAGGGUGCGAGCGUUGUCCGGAAUUACUGGGCGUAAAGAGCUCGUAGGCGGUUUGUCGCGUCUGCCGUGAAAGUCCGGGGCUCAACUCCGGAUCUGCGGUGGGUACGGGCAGACUAGAGUGAUGUAGGGGAGACUGGAAUUCCUGGUGUAGCGGUGAAAUGCGUAGAUAUCGGGAGGAACACCAGUGGCGAAGGCGACUAUCUGGGCUGCAACUGACGCUGAGGCGCGAAGGCUAGGGUAGCAAACAGG